AACGAACGCUGGCGGCAGGCUUAGCACAUGCAAGUCUAGCGCCCCGCAAGGGGAGCGGCAGACGGGUGAGUAACGCGUGGGAAUCUACCCAUCUCUACGGAAUAACGCAUGGAAACGUGUGCUAAUACCGUAUACGUCCUUCGGGAGAAAGAUUUAUCGGAGAUGGAUGAGCCCGCGUUGGAUUAGCUAGUUGGUGGGGUAAAGGCCUACCAAGGCGACGAUCCAUAGCUUGUCUGAGAGGAUGAUCAGACACACUGUGACUGAGACACGGCCCAGACUCAUACGGGAGGCAGCAGUGGGGGAUAUUGGACAAUGGGCUCAAGCCUGAUCCAGCCAUGCCGCGUGAGUGAUGAAGGCCCUAGGGUUGUAAAGCUCUUUCACCGGUGAUGAUAAUGACGGUAACCGAAGAAGAAGCCCCGGCUAACUUCGUGCCAGCCGCCGCGGUAACAC
rnacentral:rRNA from 1 species